rnacentral:rRNA from 1 species
UACGUAGGGUGCGAGCGUUGUCCGGAAUUAUUGGGCGUAAAGAGCUCGUAGGCGGCUUGUCGCGUCGGAUGUGAAAGCCCGGGGCUUAACUCCGGGUCUGCAUUCGAUACGGGCAGGCUAGAGCUCGGUAGGGGAGAUCGGAAUUCCUGGUGUAGCGGUGAAAUGCGCAGAUAUCAGGAGGAACACCGGUGGCGAAGGCGGAUCUCUGGGCCGAUACUGACGCUGAGGAGCGAAAGCGUGGGGAGCAAACAGG